AUUGGUUAUUGUUAUUGGUAUGAGCUUUCGUGUGCAUGCACACUACUUCAGAUACCUAUUCAGAUAUCAUAUCUGAAGAGGUGUGCAUGCACAUGAAAGCUCAUACCAAUAACAAACUUAGUUGG
rnacentral:miRNA from 1 species